rnacentral:lncRNA from 1 species
UUGAAGCAUCAUUUCAUACUGGACCCAACGCCCCUACAGGAAUACGAGUGUUCCGCCAAACAUCGAAUGGUUUCACAAUAAUAAGAACAAGUACAAGAAUUAUAUAGCUUUUUUGCACGUAAGAGAAUAAAAGAACAUAUAUAAAAUCAUAAGAAUUUGACAAGCAUCAGAAUAUGUGAUAAAAUAAUAUUACAAAUGAACAUUGUUAGUCAAUGGUUGUGCGCCAAAUAUAAAUCCGUUACUGUACACGGCAACCUUGUUCUGCAUUGCCCAGCAAUCUAAAGCUAAGAGAUAUUCUCUGCAGGGGCAAAAAAUAGUGCAAUAUUAAAACAUGAUAUCUCUCAUAAGGUUCCAAUGCAAAUUUAGCCUUGAAGCUAACCUCCUGAGUAUCACGGAGACGUAAUCUUUCCCUAAUAAUAAAGCACGGAUUCACAAUACGCUUCUUCCCAUGAAUUUACGCUUUCAGUUUUUUUUUUCAACACGUCCAUAUUUUUUCUCUAUAUAUGCAAGGUGGUACUAAUCUAUUUAUAUCUUUUUGCCAGAUCACGUUCAUUUUUUCGUCAAAAUAAGAAGGCUAAAAAAAAUUGUGCGUCCGGGAUUCGAACCGGAGACCUCUUUCUUGCAUCGAAGGCGCAAUGCAAUGACCAACUGUGACAGCUAAUUGUUGUGACUGGAGUCGAGUUGUCAAAUAUUUCUAUAAGCUCUCGCACGUGUAAUUUAAAACAAAAAUAAGGCUAGCCAACUCACAUUCAGGGAGCUCCCCCGGAUUGGGCUUCUUUGGCCGUCCGAUCGGGCCAGGUCUGGUCAACUGAGCUACCUUGACCGUCUGAUCUUCACUGCUGAUGAAUUUCGUUUCUGCCGUAUGGUUUUGUUCGUUGUCCAAUGACCUGUGGGCUCGUCGCAAGCCUAUAUUGGCUGGGUGAGGCGCCCCAUGUGUAAAUUGUUCACCCAAUCCCCUCCCUCCCGCGCGCCGCACACCAUGGGGCAUGGUGCACAACCCACUCCGUCGGCACUCGUGCGCCCAAUCCUCUCCCCCGCAAGAACCCUAGCCCCCUGUCGACAGCCGCCACACCCCUCGCUCCUCCUAACCCGACUCCACGCUCAUUUCCUCCUCUUCCAUCCUGCACAUCGGUCGCCCCCUUACCCUCCCGUCCCUCCCCUCCCCUCCCCUCCCCUCUCCUUCCGCAUUUCAUCCAUUUCGGGCGAGCUUCUCCGGCGGCGAUGGCGACCGGCAGGCAAAGGGUGACCCAUGGAUCUGUCCAGGAGAUAGAAGAUGAGAGGGAGAGAGAGAAGGAAGGAUAUGAGGGAGAAAGAGAGAGGAAAGAGGAGAUGGAGGUCCUGCUGCGGGCGGGAGAGGGCCACGGAUCGGCGUUGGCCUUCGCCGGGGCUUGAUCCACUCCUAGGUCCUUCCUAUUCUACUUCUCCCCACAUCCACAGAGUAUAAGUCAUGGAGCAUGGGGUCGACGACGGGGGCUGGAAGCCAGGAGGGCUGGCCGAGGAAGAAGGCGACAACGUGUGAGUGGCAGAGGUCGUCUCUCUGGCCAUCGCCUUGUCUCCUUCACAGCGCAUGGUGCAGCAGGCUGGACGGGUGGCGGGGGCGACAGUUAAGGCCACGGACGCAGCUUGGAGAGCUAUGCGGAGGUCUUGACCAAAUAUUGUCUCUUUCUCCAUGCGGCCUCCUCCCCUCGGCUCUGUAUUUGUCGGUGAGGUAUGCCAUGUGGCUUGUUCACAUUGCCUUUCCUUCUUUUUUCUUCUUCUAAGGCAAUGAGGGUAUGCCCCAUCUUCUGCGGCCUCCUCUCCUAAGGCAUAUAUUUUCUUUGUCUAUGUGAUUAUUUGGGAAUUUUAGCUCUAUGCAGCCAUUUCCCUCGAUUAGUUUCAGAAAAUGGCGGCAGCAGUAGGUCGAAUGGUUGAAGUAGGAAGUCAAUUUGGUUAGGAUGCAUCCAAUCAUUUAAAAUGAUGAUGCAAUCACAAAAUGAUGCAUCUGAGCUGCUCUAUCUGAUUGUAUUUUAGUAAGACGCUGUGAUUUUAUAGACCAUGUAAAUGAAUUGCUUGAGGAAUGUGAGAUUGCAUCCUUAAUUUGUACCUAUGUUUUUAAGGCGGUAAGGCGAGGCGAGGCGCUGGGGGGGCGCCUCACCGCCUAAGCGCUAAAGCGUAAGGCGAGGCGACGCCUUAGACACGUGCAUAUAUAAUAUAUGGCAGCCAAUUAGGAGAUUUAACAACUAGCAUUAACUUAAUAAAUUGUACAUACAUAUAUAAUAGAUGGCCACCAAUUAGGAGAUUUAACAACUAACAUUAACAUAUAAACUGUUACCGAAGCAUAGGCCUCAAAUCAUCUUGUGUAUAUGACAGAACGGCGCCUUUGAAGUUCAGCUUCAUCCUCCUCAUCAAUAUAUCGCUCCAUAGCUUUAAACUUUCUAGUGUUUAAGGAAUUGUGCAUCUCUAUCCUAAUCUCCAUGGAUGCCUCGGGACACUUAUCCGCAUCACUGGAACCCCCAGAAAAGUGCUGCUUUAGCCUUCUCACUCCACCAUGGACUAUCUUGCCACACAAUGUACACUGGAGUAAAUCUUUCCUCUCUAAAUCUGGCCAGAACCCAUACUUCCAGGCUGGAUCAUCUGAUGUAGCUCUUCUCCUAGGAUCAUUGGCUAGAUCCAUCAGAGCAGGUACACCUGGCUACUGUCAAAGAAAAAGAGAGAAGAGCCAAAUCACUAGAGCAGCCAGAUCAAGCAUGGGGAAGGAGAGAAGCAGUGGUGGGGCUGCUGCCUUGUGGGUGGAGAAGCAGAUCUGGGAAGAAACAGAUGCAGAUGAGGAGCGGGCAAGCACAUCUAGCUACACUGCUGUGCAUAAGAGAGGCAGCACCUAACAGUUAGUAGAGGAGCUGUGCAUAACAGAGCAGGCAAGCAUGGCAAGCUACACUGCUGGAUGGAAGAAAGAGGAGAGGGGGAAAGGGGGGAGAAGAGAGGGCUGAAUUCAUACCUUGAUGUGGUGCUGAUCUGCUGGAAGAGGGUUGCGCCAGAGGAGGAUGGGGAGGAGCUGCAGCCAGAGAGGAGGGGGAGGAACUGUGGCCGGAGGGAGGAGGCUGGCGGCUGCCGCAGAUCUGAGGAGGAAGCCUCCGUCAAUGGUCCAGAGAGGAGACAGGAGAGACCUCUCGCGUCGAUUCACUCUCUCUUUCCCCUUCUCAUAACUGGUCGCACCUGAACCAAUGUUUCCCGCGCCUGUGUUCCCGCCCAGGUCAGUUUUCCCGCCUGCAAUUUCUGUUUCCCUGCCUGACAAGCUAAGGCGUCCGAUUUGGUCUGAGGCGUGCAAGGCGGCGCUAAGGCGGACGCUUCAGACGCCUUACAGCCUAAGGCGGACGCCUUACACGACUGUCUAAGGCAAGGCCGACGCCCUGAGCCUGGAGGGCGCCCUGACGCCUAGGCGUCGCCUAAGCGACGCCUUACGGACGCCUUAAAAACAGAGAUUUGUACAUCCAUGUUCUUGCACUGUUUGCAGAUUUUGGUCUUCUAUAUUCAUCUCUUGUUGAUUUUUCUAAAGCAAGAUGUAUAUUUGUACAGGUUUCUCCUUGCCGUCGGUAGCAGCGGUGAGCAUAGGGGCAGCGGUCGCAGUCGCCUGCGGAGCACAGCGGCACGUGGGCUGGUCUUGCCGCCGCCAGAGCAGAGCGAAGGGGGUCGAUGCAGGGUCAAGGAGGGGCACGAGCGAGGGUCAUGCCGCACGGGGAGCGCACGACAUCCAGCGAGAGAAGACUUCUCCUCUUCCUGUGUCGGUGUGCACCCCUCAUUGCCGCCCUGCUCGUCCUCCAGUGAGCCCUCCUCCUCUCUUUUUCCUCCCCUCCCAGCCCUCUUCUUUUCCUAACUGCUUCUCCUUUGAUCUCCCCAUUUUUAGUUUCUCUUUAUGCUCCAUUUUUAGUUUCUCUUCAUGCUUUUAUUUGUUGUAUAGGAUCAAUGAAACUUGAAAGAAUGGUUGAUUGUGUAGGAUCAAUGAAACUUGAAAGAGCAGUGGAAGAAACGGAAGCAUGAUGUUUUGGGUGUGCACACAUGUAUAGUACUCGCAUUUUCAGAUGAUUGUGAAGUUUAUGGAAGAAGCAUAUCUGAAUGCUUGCUUCAAGUGUUUCUUGCUCUAAACAUGGUAACCCAUGUCCUUACAUGCAAGAAGCUGCUCUCAGUUACUUCUUGGCAAAUGAUCAGUUGAUUAAUUUCUUAUGGCAUAUUAUUUUUUACAUGGAACUAAAAAGAACACUGGUUUUCUGAGAAAAUAAGAUUAGGGAAGUCACACAUGUUGUUUAAAUCAAGAUAGCAUAUAUGUAGCUUUACUUGCUAUUUUUGCAUCAUGGAUGCUGAAGUUCCUAGAGGUAAAGCAGAAACUUGAUGCCAUGUACAGCCGUGCAAGUGUGCUGUCUGAUGGUCUUUAAAAAUUUCUUAUAGACGAAUGGCUGGACUAAAAUUUUCAAAUCGUAAUAAGCACUUGUUUUCUACAGUUGGUAGCAUAUAUAUAGCUUGCGGAGAUUUCAUGUAAUAGACAUCUAAGUUAAAACUCAGGAAUCAUAUUAUAGCCACGUGUUCAUUUCUCUCCUUUUUAUUUUGUCUCACUCCUGCAUUUAAGCAUAAGUUCAGUUUCAUUUGCUGAAGUUAGCUGCCAGAACUUAUAGUUUCUUCCCUUAGGUUCCCCUAAGAUAAAAAACAUUGUGUUUUGAAAUAGUUUUAUUUAGAAUAUGUGUGAUACACAAAUGAUUUUAACAUGCUUCUCAUUCUUGUUAGUAUGAUGAUCCAUACAUGGUGCAAGCAUAUCAGUUGGAGCUGUGGUGUACCUCUGGAUGAGUAUACUACUGAGAGGGUUUCAGAGAACUGAAAAAACUAUGCGUAUGUGGCUGAACAAAUGCCAGUGACCAUACAUCUCUUUGCCAAUUGGAUACUAGCAGCAUAUCAAAAUGAGCAGAGGAAACAACACUGGUUUUUGAUAGAUGUAUGUGUCUGUGAUUUACUUGCAAUGUUGUAACUUGCAAAACUGUUCCUUGCAAUGCUGAAAUGAUUUCUCAAAACAUGGUAAAAUUCACAUUCUAAAAACUGUAGGCACACUGAGUGAAGCAUAUAUAUAAUUCUAUUAUAACAGAAGUGAGGUGUAUAUAUAUAAUAUAUAUAUAUAUAUGCUUAUAAUAUGAUUUUAUUAGAACAGAGGUCAGGUACUGCCAUGACGUACAUUGCGAUUUCAGUUUUCAUUAAUGUCGCAGUUUUUAUUUUCUCACUGUAGCUUCAUAUAAAAUUAGUGUUGACAUGCUCAUUUUGCAGAAUGAGUAAAAAUGGUAGGUUGGUAGAAUCAUAACCUGUGACUGUGUGCCUUAAGAAGUUCUUGCCAUUAUCGUUAAAUAAUAUAAUGUUUAGGGCCAGUUUAGACGUGUCGACGAAAAAUAUGAGCUGCAUCGUCUAUCAGUCCUAGAAGCUCUGAUCUUCGUCUGGCAUUGAACCGAGCUCAUCUGUCUGGGUAUGGCCGUGCCGUGUGCCGUGUGCUGCAGCUGGGCAGCGAGGACAGGCGACCACAGGCAGAUGGCAUCAGUGGCAAUGGCAACAUGUGCGGUGCACAGCGCGAGGAGUUCAGUAAGGUGGGCACUGCCUCCCCACCGGCGUUCCAGGACGUGCGACCCUGAGCAGCUUUUGAGGAGCUUCCCCUCCGCUCCUGCUCUUUCUCUUGUCAAUUACUACAUAUAAAUGCACUUGAUCGGUGUUGAUUUUUUUUGCUAUCAUCAUCUUCUCUUGAGGAUAUUAUUGCCUUUCUUGGAGAUUAUAGUGAUGAUAGAAUUCUUAUUCCAUAUUAUUCAUCAUGCUAUAUAGUAAUGCAAUGCAUUCUUUUUUUCCUUUGGAUGAUUUUUCUCGAAGUAACUUGGUCAAUAAUGACAUUUUUAUAUGCUGCAACCUAGAAGAAACAGCCACCAAUGGACAGGAAUUCGUCACAUUAAGUGGUCUAUCUCUUUCAGUCCAUGCCGACGAAGCAAUACAGAAGCAUCCUCAUGCUGUAAUAACUACAUCUGGCUUUUAUGUUUGUUAAUGGAUUCCCCACCAGCAGCAAAGAACUGUUUCUUUUCCAAUAGCUACUUUUUCUUUUCUUCCUUUCUACUGUUUGCAAAUGUCCUGAUGUUUUUAUGUGCUAUGUUUGGGUGUUUAUCUUGGCAAGAACAAGCAUCUGGAGCGAAGCAUGAAGCACAAGCUUCUCAAGGUACUUCAUUGCAUAGUAUGCAACUUUCAGAGUUCUAAUUUGUCUCUGUUAUAACCGAUUUAGUUUGAUCGAUUUAAAUUUAUUAUUCAUGCAUGUAUACACAAAUUGCAGGGAGUAUUAGUGCUUAUGAAACUUGCUUUUGGUAUGCUUUAUUUUCAAGCUUCAAGGUGUAUUAAUUAUUCCACUUUUUAUGUUAGCUGUCUGUACUUUUUCCGUUGUUUUCAUAAUAACUGGAAAACUAAUUUGGUAUCCUUAUUGUUAUUACUUCUAGAUGUUACUGGAACUGAAUUUUGUACAGAAUAUAGUGUAUUGUAGCAUGUUGCAAUGCAGCCUUCUCUUUUUGUAAUAGCAAUUGAUUAUGUUUUUUAAUUCACCGGCUGUGCAUAGUUGUUUGUUUCCCUUUCCUAUUUGAAGUUUUGUCUGUGUUUCAUACUUUCAUUAGAAAAAGCGGUUGUCAUUUUGGGCAUGUAGUUAUUGGUCCUUUAUUUCUUGCUUGUUUAGCUUCCAUUUACUUUUCUGUACGCAUUGGGCGUGGAGUAUUUGGGAUCUUCAGUGAAGUGUAGUAUAUUGUACUACCUGGAUUAACCCUUAAUGCAUAUGGUUAGAUUUUAUGUCAAAGCUGGCAAGGCACUGGCUUUAGUUGCUAUUACCAGAGACUAGCUGUCAGGGAUACUUUCUUGAACCUUUCUUUUCUUGUCGCUGUAUUGUAGCAUAAAAAUCUAAAAUGGGUCCAUCCAUUCAUUACACCAUGUAGUUGAUGUGUGGCCCUGUAUAGAAUGCAGAUAUGCAACUUCUCUGAGUUCAGAUCUGUACUAUAAGUGCGUUAUUUUAAUUAAAACAAUAUGUGCCAUGUGAUUAUGUUACAUGACGGUAUGAUCCAGAGUUCAAUUUAUGAUUCUUCCACGAUGGAAACAGUGAUUACCCGUUCACAAUCUAAGUCUUCCUCAAGUAGUAUGGAUACAGUGCUGCCAGGAUAUUAAGUAUAUUCAUGAAGUUGUGCAAAGUUUAAAAUUGUUGUGGUAUCUCGCAUUUGUCAAAUCCUCAUAUGUUGCUGGUGGUCAUGCUUAUGCCCAGGAUAUUAAGUAAGCUUGUGCUAUGCUGUUACUAAAUAAAAGCAAUGUUCAGACUUAUCUUUUGUUUGCUCUACUUAAAGAGUCCAAUGUUUUACCCAGAGGGAAAUUAUAUGUUUCCUUCUUACUGCUGUCUCCCGUGUGAUGCCGAGAAAAUCACUGAUGUUUUUGUUUUACUUGGCCUACAUUUUGGUUUUCAAAUAGUUCUGCCUCUCAAUUUGAUAUGUCUACUUCCUUUUGCUUAGUAAUAUGAUGUGUUGUUUUCUAGCUCUAGGCCUACUUGUGUUCAAGGUUCAGUUGAUUGUGUUUCUUAAGGGUGUUUUUUUAAUUAGUGGCAUCAAUAUGUGGCACUAAUUUCAUUGUGCAUUGUACUGUGAUUUUUUCAAGCAACACCAUUAUGGUACUUUUUUUAAUUCCAUUUCAAGUUUCACUUGAUCACUAGCCUCUUUGUUCUCUCCUCGUCAUCAUGGCCUUUCUUAAGGGUGUUCAGGCAUUUCUUUUCUUCUGUAAAUUAGUGGUCUUCUAUUCGUGUUGCGAACCCCAAUAUGGCAUCUCACCAUUCCCCAUGAUCCACAUGCUAACUGUGGAUUUAUUUAAUGGUAAUAUGAUAUUAACGGCCUUUUCUUCAGGAUAAGCUGACACCUAAUAAGGAUGAGAACAAUGGAGAUACUAAGAGGCAACCUUUUGGGGUUAAGGAUAUAAACAACAACAUGGCUUAUGAGGCCGAAGAGAGCUUGAGUGGCGGCUUUUGGAUCUUCAAGCCCUGCACUUUCCUGGUGGAGUGGCAGCAAAAUAGUUCAGAGGCUUUAAAGCUACUGCACUUUACAUAGUUAGGAUCAAUUCUUUGUUUUGGUUUGAAAUAAUCCCCAGUUACUCCUAUUUGAUUUAUUCAUAUGAUGGACAUUUUGUCAUGCAAAUAAACAGAAGGCAUAUGUAUUGUUACAAGUGAAGCCAUCCAUACAAUUCGAGAUAUUAAUAAUCCCAUAUGUGGAAUUCAAGAUAUAGAGAAAUGUUAUUCUUCUUCUAAUUGGUUGCUUGACCAAAUGUACUUCAGAUGAUCUUAUUAUUGUUCAAUAUAUAGAGAAAUAUUAUUGUACUUCAUUGUAGUGGAUGAUGUCCAUCCUAAUUAUUGAGAUGAUGGAAGUAUUAUUGAGGAGUUUUGUCUCGGACCGAACAAAACUGCCGAGGAAGAAGGGAUAAAUAAGUCACUCGAUUCAUAUAUAGAAGGGUCUAAAUUCUUACCAUGUGUACUUGCUCAAAUAGAAGAUUAUUGAAAAAUACACAUAUUUUCAAUGAGAUGUGAUUUUGAAUGAAACUCUACAUUCCCUGCUCCGUGGUCAUUCAAUCCACAAUCCCCCAGAGCAAGAUCUUCCGGUUUGAAACAUACUGGAUUGCGCACCCUGGCUUUAUGCAGACUGUGGAGGACGCUUGGAAUAAACCCAUAAAAUUUGGCAAAGACAAAAAUGCAGCUUCGAUCCUUUGUCAAAAGCUAAAAGCUGUCAGAUACGCCCUAUCCCACUGGAGCAAAAAGAUUUCCCGCCUAAAAAUUGCCAUUGAGAACUCAAAUAAGGCCCUUCUUGAGCUGGAUAGUCUUGAAGAACGACGUACACUUUCGAUCCCUGAGCGUAACUUCAAAAAAAUCCUCAAAAAACACCUCCUACGACUCCUUAGUUACCAAAAGGAGUACUGGAAGAAGAGAUGCACAAUCCGUUGGAUUAAGUUUGGCGAUGAAAACUCGAAAUUUUUUCAAGCUGUUGCCACGGAACGAUUCAGACGAAACUGCAUUGCUACCCUAAAAUCUGAAAAUGGGUAUACCGUCAAGGAUCAUGCAAGUAAAGAAGCUAUCUUAUUUCAAGCCUUCAAACAAAGGCUGGGUUCUUGCUCGAAACCUAACAUGAAACUCAACCUAUCGUCUCUGCUCCGUCACCAAGUGGACUUUGAGCGCCUCACUGCCCCGUUUGCAACGCAUGAAAUUGAUGCUGCGAUUAAGGAAAUGCCCCCGGACAAAGCCCCGGGCCCGGAUGGUUUCAAUGGAGCCUUUCUGAAAGCUUGUUGGCCUAUCAUUAAAAAUGAUUUCUACAACUUAUGCAAUGAAUUUCACAGAGGAGACUUGAAUCUUGAAAGCGUAAAUUAUGGUUAUAUCACUCUGAUACCAAAGAAUGCCUCCCAGGAGACGGUCAAUGACUUCCGCCCAAUCACUUUGCUCAAUUGUUGCCUUAAGCUGAUCACCAAACUACUGGCCAAUCGUCUCCAAAAAAUCAUCUUGCAGAUAGUCCACCGUAAUCAAUACGGGUUCUUGCGUGGACGAUCCAUACAUGACUGCUUAGCGUGGGCCUUCGAGUAUAUUCACCAGUGUCAAGCCUCGCAAAAUGAGAUUAUCCUACUGAAACUUGAUUUUGCCAAAGCCUUUGACACUAUUCAACACUCGGCUAUGCUCCACAUUAUGAAAAAAGUGGGUUUCAAUGACAAAUGGCUCCACUGGAUGCAAAGUAUCUUCAAUUCUGGCAAAUCCUCAGUCAUUCUAAAUGGUACUCCAGGAAGUUCUUUCCUAUGCAAGUGCGGUGUGCGACAAGGUGACCCCCUCUCGCCUCUGAUAUUUGUUAUAGCUGCGGAUCUCCUUCAAUCUGCAAUCAACGAAGCUCUUCGGAAUAAUAUCCUGAACUUACCAAUCCAACGUGACACUAACGGGGAUUACCCAGUUAUCCAAUACGCGGAUGACACACUCAUCAUCCUGCCAGCUUGCACCCGGCAACUCACCAAGAUUAAGGAAAUUCUGGAGGAUUACGCCACGUCAGUAGGGCUCAAAAUCAACUUCCAUAAGUCCACACUUGUGCCAAUUAACACGCCUCCUGACAAAUGCAAAGAACUGGAUGAGCUGUUAGGUUGCACAGUGGGUUCCAUGCCGUUCACAUAUCUGGGGCUGCCCCUAGGCACCACUCGUCCGACCGUGCUGGAUCUGGCUCCGCUUGUUUGCAAAGCAGAAAGAAACAUUACGGCUGCUAUGUCUCUAAUGUCGUACGCGGGGAAACUUGCUCUAAUGAAUUCGUUGGUAACCUCUCUUAUCAUGUUCACUAUGGGUACCAUUCGCAUCCCACCAAAAAUUAUGGCCCAACUAGACAAGAUCAGAAGGCAUUGCCUAUGGCAAAAACGGACCGAAGAUGGGACCAAGAGCAAUUCUCUUGCGGCUUGGGACAUGGUCUGCAGGCCUAAGAAAAAUGGUGGACUGGGAGUUGUCAACCUCAAAAUACAGAAUGACGCUUUGCUGCUUAAGUUUCUCCACAAGUUUUACAACAGGCAUGAUAUCCCUUGGGUACAUCUCAUUUGAGAUUCCUACUAUGGUGACUCCAUCCCUCAUGCACAUGAUGCAUGUGGCUCCUUCUGGUGGAAAGACUUAACUCAGCUAAUGCCCAUAUAUCGCGGCGUCACGCACGUAAAAAUUGGGAAUGGAUCUUCUACGCUCUUUUGGAAAGAUAAUUGGAGCCAGUCCAUAUAUGCUGAUAGUUGCCCGAGAGCCUACUCAUAUGCUAUCUCUGAAGAUGUCCCGGUACAACACAUUUUCACGUCCCCCCAUCUGCAGGAAAACUUUCAUCUCCCGCUUUCUAUUCAGGCCCAUGAUGAGCUGCGAUCCAUCCAACUUGAAGUGGCCGAAAACACUCUUACGGAGGAACAUGACACCUGGCAGUGUAUUUGGGGCGGCAAUACUUUUCAGACAUCAUCAUACUACAGAUUCUACUUCAGAGAUGUAACUGCCCAUGAAGCCUUCGGUUGGUUAUGGAAAGCAAAGUGUACUCCCAAGCUCAAAACAUUCGGGUGGUUCCUGCUGGUUGAUCGCCUCAACACCAGAAACAUGCUCAAGAGGAGGCACUACAACAUUGGGACAAACUUCGACUGCCUCCUUUGUGGCCAACAUGUUGAAGAAACGGUGGAACACCUCUUCUUUCACUGCACAUUUAGUCAGGAAUGUUGGCUACAUCUAGGUUUCAACUGGUCUUUGCAGCAUGACAGACUUGACAUGAUCAAACAUCAGAAGACCGUGCACCCUAGAAAGAUGUGGAUGGAUAUUUUUUUGACGUCGGCCUGGAGUCUCUGGAAGGAGAGAAACAACCACCACUUUAGGAAAAUUAAGCCAUCAGUUGCUUCCUGGAAACAGAGGUUUAAGUUGGACUUUGACAAUCUUAGAUAUAGAGUGAAACCUUCCAAACAACAUAUUGUAUCUGCCAUAGUUGGGUCCAUACAGUAGGCGUCUUGUAAACUAGGGUGUCCCAUGGUGGUGCCUCAACCACCCAUGUAUGUAAAUCACACAUGUAAUUGUACCCCCUGAGGUUUUAGUAAUAUAUAUGCAGUAGGAACCUUUCCUACUGUCUUCACAGUCAAAAAAAUAAUGAAACUCUACGCUACCAAAGUAAAAUGUGCAUGUACAUCUUGUUGUAGACAACAAACCUAAUUUUCUGUUGAAGGGGGUUAAAUUUGUUAACGUAUGUGCAUGCUCACAACUAUACAACAAUUAAUACAUGUUCUUUUCUACAAUGCACACAUGGAUUAAAAAAGAUACACGUAUUUUCAGUGCAUGAUAUUGAAUGGGACUUUGUGCUAACAUAUUAGAAUGUGCGCAUACAUCUAUUGUAGACAGCAGGCCCCCGUUUUUUCCAACAAAGACAAAUUAAAUUUGUUGCCACAUGUACUUGCCUGUAUUUUUUUAAUUAAACCAUGGAUUUCUUUUCAUCACUAACAUGAAAUCAGCAGGUCUCUGCGCCAUUUGGCGCAACGAGUCCACUAGUUAACUACACUGGGUCUAGGCCAGUCCUUCAGUUGUUGGGCCGGUUGCACCAGCGCGCCCAUGUAAACCAUCGACGUACAAAAAAUAUAGCCCAUCCCAUAGUAUUAAUAUUUGUGGAUAUUUCAUGUUGAAUAGUCCCGCAUGGAUCAAAUCAAAUGAUUGCCACCAAUUUAAAUUAGUUUAACGAGAUUGCCUGGUGUGAGCUAAUUAUACGGGAUCCUACAUGCAAGAUGAGAAGUGCUUUGCAGGCUGCAUGAUACAGUGAGCUAGGAUACUUACAAAGUGGCCUAGGAAGUUGUGGCCCCCAUAUGUGCAUGCAUGCAAGACCCAACAACAAACUUCAACAAAUGUUCGAUGUCGCAAACGAACUAGCCGAAAUGCGCUGGUUCCAGUAAAAAAAGAAAUGGGAGCUAGCGAGAGCUUGUUGGUUGCAGAGGAGAAAAGAGCGGCGGUGCUCAUCGCCGGCUGCGCGCGGACGAUGGCGAAAGAAAGAUGGGUAAUGGGUCCGAUUGCGUUGGAGUAGAAAAUGAGUGGAGCAAAGCAACAAACGCGAUAAGAUAAGACUGGUCAAAGCGGCCCUGUGUCCAGGGCCCAUGUGUGGACGUCUUUGGAACGCGCUUUCAAGAUCUCAACUCGCAACAAUGAUUGUCACAUUAUAAACACGGUUAGGCGUUGCAUUCUUUAGCAGGACGGUGUAAGGACAUUUUUUUCUCCCGUUGCAACGCACGGGCAUGUUUUGCUCUCUCUCUCUAUAUAUAUAUAUAAUUUCUUCCUAAUAAUAAAGCACGGAUUGACAUUGUCGGGUUCACCGUCACAAUACACUUCCGCCUAGUUGUAAUACGCUUUUACGAUUCGUAUAGACAAAAUCUUAAUAUAAACCAGGUGGUACUAAUUUGGGGAUGUUCUAUAUAUGUGCAUAUUGUUUUCGCAUGUUGUCCAAAAUUAUUAGGGCGACGCGGGCCGGCUCGGUCGCGUGGAGGUGCGGCUGCUCGGCGAGGCUUCUGCGGGGGCGCGGCUGGUAACGGUGCGUUGGCGAGGCUUCAUCGAGGGAGCCGCUGGCGCUAAGGGGCGGCGCGAGUGCUCCCGGACUUUGGGCCACGCACCUGGAUCUCGGCAGGGCGGCGGUGACACCAUGCAUGCAUGGAUGGAUCAAGUACGCCGGCGGUGACCUUGAUGGCCAACAAAUUAAAGACAGGAUCUUGAACCCAGCAGCUAAUGUAUGUCAUGGGGUGGAUCAUGGAGCCACACCAGGCACCAGCGCACCCAUGGGUGCGCGCCGUACAGCACGGCGGCCGGCACUGUCGACCCAAGGUACGUACCUGCCGGCCGGUCGUACGUCGUGGCCUUUGAAGAUUGAACCUGUCCGUGGUGGCGAGCACUGACCACGCACGUCAACGCCGACGCCCAACUCCGAGAACGCAGCCGACGUCGAUGUCCAAAGACAUAAAUAUAGGAGCUUGAACCCGCUGGGUGAUGCUCAUGGGGGAACGACUAUAGAACCGCCGCGACGGACGCAUCCAUGGUUGCCGCGCCAGCCGGCCAGCACCGGCGACCCAAGUAUGGUUGGAACGUCGUCGUGUCGAACCGCAUAGCCGGCGAGCGAGGUGGAUGUGAAGAGCCAGCUCCGGCAGAGAGCGCGAGGGGAUGAAGCUGGCGGUCUUGGAGUGUUGAUCCAGCCGGCCUGCCAUGUAUUGUAUAACACUAUAACCCUUGAAGAAUCUAGGAAAAUUAGUGUCCAAGACUUGAGGAGGUGAUUCACCGUUGGAUUCCUUGUGUUGUUUGAAGAGAAGAGAAGAAAAGAAGAAACGAGACGAGAUGCUUGGGUUGGGCAUUGUGCAGGCGGACCGCACGAUGGAGUGCACGGGGGUCGUCGCGUGUCAAACAAGUUGUUGUGCUAGCUAGAUCCGCAUGUUCUCGCUCCGCAGUCGCCAAAUCCAGUCGAGAUUGACAGGAUCCACUCUCGGGCAAGGUUUCUCUCUCUGUAAGUCGCUGUCACGACCCAAGGAAACUCCUACGAACGGAGUACAUGUCGGCGGCCUGCGGGUCGGCGGAUCGGCUCCGGCCGCCUCCACCAUCACCUCCUCCUCCAUGAACUACACAUCCCGGACGCCCAAGGUGAUCGCGUGCUGUGAGUGCGUGUUGGUGUGUGCUUCUCCCUUUGUACUGUUGGUCAUGGGGUGGUGUUGCUCCUCUCCCUCUCUCGGAUCAGUAACUGCAUUAUUCCCAAAUAAAUGUGUGCUUUUGUUCAUAUUCUGUCCACAUCAUGUUUGAUGUUAUGCUUAUGAGGAGUUGAACUUCAUUUUUUUUCAGGUUCUUCUUUGGUGUAUCGGCCCCGGUGUAAUUUGUUUUCAAAAGUGAGCUUGUUGUACAGUCCAAUUCAUCUAGGAGAAUUAACUUAUGGAGAGUUGUUCAUGAUGUUGCUUGCAUUUUUUUGUCUAAUAAACUGGAUGCUUAAAUUUUGGAUAUAAACAUUGAGUAGGUGCUGAAAUGUUUUGCUAAUAAUAGUUUCCAACUUGCUUUUAGCAGAACUGCAGAACUAUAAAAUAUAUAUCAAAACUAUUGUAGCUCAAUCAAUUUGCAUAUUUUAAUUAUGUGUACUCAAUGGAUUUGGUUUCCAGGACAUGGACUUAAGAUCAAGUUGGUUUAUGUGUUGAUGUUCUUCGGUAGAAUAAUUGUUCUUCUCCUUUAACAUGAUGCGUCGUUGACUUAUUCUUUUAGAUGCUCACAUACACACACAAACGACAUCCAGUAAACGCUUGGAACACCCGACGGAUUGAAAGCAUAGAAGCAAAGAUUUCCAAUACGAGGCCACGAUGCCCCGACAGAGAUGUAGCCAACAUGCGCCCAAUCCUUAUUUCUUGAUGUUGGAACAACAAGUAAGAGCAUGUUCAUGUUUACUUAUUAUGUUUUUUGAGAAAUUUAUGGGAUUUACAAGCUGAAAUUAUUGACUGCUUCAAAAGAUGUUUUAACCAAAAUUGUUUGCAUGGUAUUUCCCUGAUUCUGCAUUCAUGGAAUUGCUAAAAAAAUGAACAAGUUCAGUGAUAGUUUUGUUCCUAUUAAUAUUUCGUCCAAGGUGCUAGUUUGUUUCUUCACUUGAUGAUCUCCUAAUGUUGAACUAUCCAUGUACUUAUCUUUAAAGUUCUGUUGUCUUUCUAAUUCUCUAUCUAAUAAUAAAGCACAAGCUGCUUCUGCCUGUCUGUCGCACCUUUUUGCAAAAAUGUUGAACCGUUAUUUUACAUUUUUCAAAAACUCCCUAGCCUUUUAGGUAAUUCAUUCGCGGAUCAUAUUUAAGUGAAACAAAUGCUUUUCUAAAUUAUCCGUAUCUUUUAAACCGUAACUCCGAUUUGAACAUGUUAUAUAUGAAAUUUGAUUACAAAAAUAUAUAGAAUAUGAAUAUGAGAUUAUUUUUACAUGUUAAGUAUUUUAUGUAUUAUUUUGGAAGAAAUUUAAGUCAAACAAAUGAUUUUCUAAAUCGUCCGUAUCUUUUAAACGGUAACUCUGAUUUUAACAUGUUAUAUAUGAAACUUUAUUAAAAAAAUGUAUGGAAUCUGAAUAUGAUGUUAAUUUUAUCUGUUAAAUAUUUUUUAAAUAUUGUUUUGGAAGCAAACUUAUAAUCUAUAGCACGAUCUGUUUUUCUUUCGUGUCGGAGGUGAUCCAGAUUGCAAAUAAACACCAACUAUAACCAUAUAGGGAAAAAACAUCGAUUACUACACAUGCAUACCUCUAAAAAACAUCACUAGAAAAAACAACAGAUUUUUCAUCGUGAGAGAGGGAGAGGGAGAGAGAGGAGAGAGGGAGAGAGAGACGCCUUAGGAUUAACCACAUUCAAACAUGUUUUGGUUUGUGCGAACACUGAGGCCACCACCGGCGAGGGUGAGAAGGAAAAUAAGCGGCAACAAAAAUAUGAUGCCUCGCUAAAAUAAAGGAGAUGGGCCUAUUAUGGUAUGGUUGCUGGGUUAAGAGCGUGCGUUAUAUUUUUUUUCUUCUGUUGCAACGUACGGGCUCUUUUGCUAGGAGAACAAUUGUAAUGUGGUAUGCCAUCCAGGAGCUCAAUGUGUUAGGUUCUGUCCACGAGCUGCAAGAACUCGCUUAGUGCUUGAGGGCACCUGCUAGGCGACACUUGCCACCAUCCGUCAACAAUGGCUUGUUUCACCGUUCUCUCCCAUGCUCUAUUCUUAACUGCCGCGAAUAAGUUUGGCAGGAGGUCUUGGAUUCGCUCUUUACACAACCACCAAUCUGUCCAAAGCAGUACCACCUCUCCAUUUCCUAGCGUGCACUUGGUCGCUACCUUGUAGACCUGCAGGCGUUGUGCACUACAUCCGUGAAUCUUUUGAGAAUAUUUGAAGCAUCAUUUCAUACUGGACCCAAUGCCCCUACAGGAAUACGAGUGUUCCCCUAAACAUCGAAUGGUUUCACAAUAAUAAGAACAAGUACAAGAAUUAUAUAGCUUUUUUUGCAGGUAAGAGAAUAAAAGAACAUAUAUAAAAUCAUAAGAAUUUCACAAGCAUCAGAAUAUGUGAUAAAAUAAUAUUACAAAUGAACAUUGUUAGUCAAUGGUUGUGCGCCAAAUAUAAAUCCGUUACUGUACACGGCAACCUUGUUCUGCAUUGCCCAGCAAUCUAAGGCUAAGAGAUAUUCUCUGCAGGGGCAAAAAAUAGUGCAACAUUAAAACAUGAUAUCUCCCGUAAGGUUCCAAU